GAAAAAAGUUAUGUGAAGUGUAUGGAGAAGAUAUAUUAACAUCUUCUCCAUACACGUUGAAUCGUACAAGGUAAUGGAUUACGAUUUCCUGUAUCCAUCUAUUGAGCAGGCACCUGUAAACCUGAUGCUGUAUAGAUUUCUCUUGCAACAUGUCCCAGAGUCUAACAAGUGUGCUAAAUUACUUGGAGAUAUCUGCCACCUAGUAACAUAUAACUUGUAUUAUAUGUUCCAAGGCCACUAUUAUAUACAAAAACGAGGUGUCCCUAUCAAUGACUCUUUAGCUGGAGUCAUCGUCAAACUAGUGGUGAGGCACAAUGAAUCACAAGUUAGAUGACUUUAGACUGUGCACACGUCAUGUUGAUGAUGUAUGUAUAAUCUGGAAACAGGAUACCCGUAAGGACCGUAUUAG
rnacentral:lncRNA from 1 species